GGUGGCACAGUGGUUAAGUGCUUGGCUGCUAACCAAAAGGUUGGUGGUUUGAACCCACCAGCCA
rnacentral:tRNA from 1 species